rnacentral:rRNA from 1 species
AGAGUUUGAUCCUGGCUCAGGACGAACGCUGGCGGCGUGCUUAACACAUGCAAGUCAACGAGAAAGGGAGGUAGCAAUACUUCCCGAGUAAAGUGGCGCACGGGUGAGUAAUAUGUAAGUAAUCUACCUAUAGCCUGGGAAUAACGUCGAGAAAUCGGCGCUAAGACCGAAUAAUGCAGCGGCACCGCAUGGUGAUGUUGUUAAAGUCUAUAUGGCGGCUAUAGAUGAGCUUGCAUCUGAUUAGCUUGUUGGCAGGGUAACGGCCUACCAAGGCAACGAUCAGUAGCUGGUCUGAGAGGAUGAUCAGCCACACUGGAACUGAGACACGGUCCAGACUCCUACGGGAGGCAGCAGUGAGGAAUAUUGGGCAAUGCCCGCAAGGGUGACCCAGCAACGCCGCGUGGAGGAUGAAUGCCGUAAGGUUGUAAACUCCUGUGAGAAGGGAUGAAAAUGUGGGUUCGAAGCCCACUUUGACCGUACCUUCAGAGGAAACCCCGGCUAACUACGUGCCAGCAGCCGCGGUAAUACGUAGGGGGUUAGCGUUGUCCGGAUUUACUGGGUGUAAAGGGCGCGUAGGCGGGUCUGUAAGUCAGAGGUGAAAUCCUACAGCUUAACUGUAGAGCUGCCUUUGAUACUGCGGAUCUUGAGUUCAGAAGAGAGAGAUGGAAUUCCAGGUGUAGUGGUGAAAUACGUAGAUAUCUGGAAGAACACCAGUGGCGAAGGCGAUCUCUUGGUCUGACACUGACGCUGAGGCGCGAAAGCGUGGGUAGCAAACAGGAUUAGAUACCCUGGUAGUCCACGCUGUAAACGAUGAAUACUAGAUGUUGGGCAGAAAUGUUCAGUGUCGCAGCAAACGCAUUAAGUAUUCCACCUGGGGAGUACGAUCGCAAGGUUGAAACUCAAAUGAAUUGACGG